GUAGUUUUCUUUCCCGUUUCUUUUUUUUAAUCGUGUUUUUCAGUUGUUUUAAUUUUUUUUUUUGAAUACUACAAAAACUUUUUAAAUGACCAAAUUAUAAGUAUCUAUACCCGUUCCUAUUUCUUUAAUUUUUUUUUCUUCAAAAUGUGGUGUUUUUAAAAAGUAGCGUAUUAAUGAUUUUUAAAAAUCAAAUAUUAUUAGCAUGAGGUUGUCUUUUCUUUCCAAUAUUUUCCCUGAAUAACCCAACCUCUCUUCCUACUAGAAGGACUACUUCAUGUAAAAAUCGAAAACUGUUGAAAAAACAUGGAAACGACAAGAAAUUGAUAACAAAUCAUCAACGAUUAAAAUGACUCAACAAUGUGAAAAAUUGAGACCAUUUGUUGAUCAAUGAAAGGAAAUGUUUACGAUAUUUUUAAAAAUAUCAGCUGAACAGAAGAUCAGACAAAAUAAAAUAAUCAUAAUUGAGCAAUAAUCGGUUAUUUAAAAUGCCAGACGAAAAUAUUGAAAAUUUGAUAACAAAAUAAAAUGUUUUUUGAGGAAUAUGAAUGGGGGAGUGGGGGGACAGGGGAAUUACCUUCCGAUUUAAACGAAAGUUCAAUGUCAUUGUCAUUGCUUAUCAUCAAAAAUGGAAUUGAAACGUUAGAAACGUGUAAGUACCUACCUAUAGGUACCUAUUUGCUUAAAAGAUCGUUAAGUUAAGUGCUCAUUUUUUGAGCUUUUUUGAGGUGAAAACUUGUUCCAAUUAGAGAUGUGCAAUGUGAAAAGUGAAAAGUGAAAAGUACUUUUCUUUCAAUGAAAAGUUGAAAAGAAAAGUUCCUACUUUUCAUUUCACUUUUCAGUUUUUACUAUAAAAAAAAGCGAGUGACCAAUCAAUUUACUCAUCAGAGAUCACUGACCUCAUUGAUGAAGUCAAAUAUCAAGUUUCACUCUCUCCACUCCUCCCCCUUCGCAAUUCAGCACCCAUUUUUGAUAUUUUUCACAACAUUUUUUUCAAAACUGAAAAACCCAAAAAUGUUAGAGGCUCUAGAAAGGCUCAAAACUGCCACUAUUCGAUUAAGUAGGUUAAAAAAAUGAUUUGUUUUUUUGUGUGUUUUAGACAUGUAAAAAAUACAUCAAUUUGAAGCUCUUACAGAGAGCUUUAAAAUGAGACUCACAUGAUUUACUUUUCACACUUUUCACAACUUUUCACACUUUUCAAUGAACUUUUCACUUUUCAUUUCACCAAAAUUACUUUUCUGAAAAGUGCACAUCUCUAGUUCCAAUCCAUCGUGAUGAGUAAGAAUAAUUCAAUGUUUUGCUGGGUCAUUGGUCAAUUGUGAUACUGUUUUGGUUUUCCCAUAAUAUCAUUUUUUCCAUAGAAAUCUCAAAUCAGGUGAUAUAGGUAGGUAUCGAAAUAAAGAACCUGGUAAUGGUAACGAGAAGUGUUGUUAAUUAGGUAUGUAGAAAUAAAAACACGUGCUUUUCUCUUCUACGCAUUUAUUGGACUAUGCAUAUUGCGUAGGUAAAUAUGAAUCAUAUGUUUCGGCGAUUAUUCAAUAAACUAAUAUGUAAAGAAUGUAUUACCUACAUUUUACUCGACAGAUUUCUUCUGAGAAAAAGAAAGAAAUGAGAAAUCAAAAGAGCAUCGUAAUCGAUCGAUGACUCUGUAUUUUGAAUAUUCGCGUAUUUUAAUACAUUAAUAAAAGUAAGUAAAAUAAAAGGCAAAAAGAAGUUUGAAGGGUUAGGUUUUUCGAUGGGAAAUUUAGGGAUUUGAUUGCGUCAUGUAAUUCAUCAUCUUUAGUAAGUUGAUGUAUGGUUUUUUUGGAAAUCACUCUGCUAAUUUGUCAUGAAAAAUAACAAUCGUCUCGAAUAUUCCCAUUUUAAUUUGAAACCAUGUUCUUGCCAAUGAACCAGGACGCGUCUUCAUUUGUUAAUAAAAUCGUAGACAACUGUUGCGUAAUCAUUAUCAAUUUUUUCCUCAAUCAUGUGAAAUUUCAACGAGUGUAAAACCGGACCGGAAACAAUAAAAAAAUUGUAAGCCUAAUGUGAACAUCGAUAGUUUUAAAUAAAUUUCAUCGCGAUAUCAGUGAAUAAGGCGUCAUAAUCUUGGUAGAUACCUCAAUCAGGUGAUUGGGUAGUCUAUUCUUUUUCCAUAAAUUUGGCGAUUUUGUAUCAAAAACCGUAGACUAUCUCUGAUAAUAGUGAUAAUACACGUGGGCACGCAAUUUUUUAAGUAACGUAGUUUGCUUUUCAAAAAGAUUAUUUAGCUUCGAUUUAAUCGUUUGUUACAAUUCGGAUUAGGUACCUUACCUAUUUUUUUUGUUUUUAAAAAAGCUUCAACUAAUAUUGCGAGUAUGAUUUUCAACGUGAAAAUUUUCGCUCUUGUAAUAGUGGCAGUAUGGGCUUGUGCUUUUGCUUUACCAGCGAGGAAUCCAGUUUAUAAUGAUCCCUGUGUGGGGAAGUGUAAAGUAGACAUUUUUGGCAGAACUACAUUUUGCGGAACUGAUGGCUGGACUUACAUUAACGAACAAUUUUUAAUUUGUUUUCAAGAGUGUGGAAUUUCGAUUACAAAAGCCUAUGAUGGUCGAUGCAAACCCUUCAACCAGAUGACGUAAACUGUGAAACCGAUUAGCUCGAAUGACAUUUCAAUCUAGUUUAAAAAUUAGCUUUAAUAUACGUAGCAAAAUAUAAAUUUUUACAUGCUGUAAUUGUCAACUUUUCCAAUAGAAAGCAUAUUAUUAUACUUUA